UGAAAGCCAGGCCACUGACUGAAUGAUUAAGUCUGUGCUGGACAUGACAAUGAAUUUAACCCUCUUGCCAGCCUAGGAGAGCACACAGAUGCAGGAAGAGGAUUGAAAACCUACUUUUCAAUUUUCUCUUCUUCCUCACCCCUGCUCUAAUUUGCCUGACCUGUUUCCUUUCAAAACCUUGCUGUUAUCAGUACCUUGUCCAUUUUCACUCUGUUUCUCUUUGUAGACUAAUUCCUUGCUGCUUCCUCAUGGGAGAUAAACUCAUGCUCAUGUAAGAAGAACAUCUGUCUUGGGCUAGGAGGAGCACAGGAAGAUGCCUUUAUCUCAAGAGCUAGGAAAUAAGGCAACUGUAUUAAAUUGUCAAGGGAGGACAGCAGACCAACAAGGAUGAAGAAGCUUGAAAAAUUCUUCAUUGCAGGGUCCACUCAUUGUCUCUAAUGAUUUGCUGCUCCUCAAAAGAAUGUCUACACUCCCGAUCGCCCCUUUUGCCAUGAGAAAAGUUGAUUUUCACUGAACCUUCAGAGGGUGAAGAGGAAGCUUUUCCUUGACUUCUACACAGGCUGGAAAUAAAUAACCUCCGCUUAGGACACCCCUGGCAGGGGCUUUCCAAACCACUUCCAACCCUGGAGAGAAAGAUAAUGAUGUGCCCAAACAACACAUCUGCAGAUGUUCCGUGGAGCAUCAUCACCAAAAAUGCACACGAAACUGCCACUAGAAGCAAAUGGAGGAAGCACACAGCAGGACUGGGUGUCUUUAAUUGCCAUUGCGGUGAGAGGUUUAUUUGCUCUUUUAAACAAUUAAUUCUAACGUGUACUUGAGUCGCUAGUAACUAAUAUCUGUAUAGGUAGAAAUACUUUAAAUAAAUGGCAAUGAUCAUACUGGAAUGCACAAAUAACAGGCUAUUUGACCUGGAAGGAGAGUUUCAUAGUCAUUGAAUCUAAUAUGCUUAUUUGACUAACAGAACGUGUGUCCAUCUGCACCACGUGAAUGAUUUGCGGCACAGCCGGGACCUGGCUCAGUUCUCUUGACACAUACAUCAACUCACAAGCACUGAAGUGGCAAGGCUGUUUGCAGAAGACAUUUAAGGCAAAAAUAGAUUGCAUCUUAAAAGUGAGUGAACUCCUUUAUAUGGGAUAAUCUAGGCACUGAUAUCUUUCCUUCCUAAUCAUAGCAAAAUCUAUCUUAUUUAUUAUUUCAGCUAAAGGAAAGGAAAAAUUGAGAUUUGUGUUUUAAACCAUACCUAGAUAGAUGAUAUCACUGCUGCUGUGAAAAAUAUUUUCAAGUCAGUGAUUUGUUACUUAAUUUUGGAAAUUAGUAAAAACCCUGCAAGUCAUUUUUUUUUUUAGCAUUGUUCUUAGUUUUCCAAUCUGCCCUUGAGGUCUUGCCUUUAAUCAUUAAGUAUGUAUGUUAGAGUUUGCUGCAAGAACAUUGAAACUUCAAAUUUGUUUAAAUUAACAAAUUCAAGGCCAACUAGUCAGUAGAUAGAAUGAUGAGGUGAGAGUUGGUGGCCAUCCCAAGCUCUGUGUUAACCAGGACCAAAUCAUUUAACCACUUCCUUGGCACUUCUAUUUGUUAGGUGAGAAUUAAUUGAUUCAUUUAUUCAGUUGUUUUGUACGCUGGAAGAAAUGCUUCAUUCAUUUAUUUCAUUUAUUCUUUAAGUGUCCAAGUGAUGUAUCAAAUACUGGUGAUUAAAAGAAAUUGCACAAAAUAAGACUUUUAAGCUGAGGAGCUCAGAGUUUACUAGAAGCGACACACAUAUAAAAAGAUGAAACACAGACUAACACAUACCCGGCAAGAUAAGAACCAAGUACAGAGUGCUGGAACAGAGGGUACCGUGUCUGUUUAGGUGGCUGCAAAGAUCUCCAGGACGUACCCAGGUGCAGAAGCCAUGCAGGCAUGAAGCCUGAGGGUUGCAUCUAUGGUAACAGCAGUACAGUGCUAUCUCCAAGGAACAGGAGGACAUUCUGAGAGAGGACAAUGUAGAGUUUGGUGGUACAACGGCAGUGGAUGACAUGGGAUAGAAUAAGAUGAGAUAGAAAUUUUGUGACAGGCCAGGUGCGGUGGCUCACGCCUGUAAUCCCAGCACUUUGGGAGGC
rnacentral:lncRNA from 1 species